AUCACCUGCAAGGGACAUGCACAUCAAUAUUUUGUCUUUGGUUAGUUGGAUUGUCGCUCUGUUUCAAUUAGAUACUCCCGUUUCGCCAGUUAUCGAGCAGCUGUCGUCUGCGCUUGGAUCGAACGACGACGCAAGCAGAGGGCGCGCAUUGGUUCGGCUAUAUAUAUAGGAUGUGGGUGGAAUGAGUAUUCUUUAUACGUCUAACACGUCUGCGAGUUGGCGUAGAGCAUUCUUGCGGCGAAGUUGAUGAUUCGAAUUUCGAAAUCAAGUCAUAUGAAGAGUUCGUCUUUCCAACGGCAACGACAACGACGCGUCAGACCGUCUGGUGAAGCACUGAGAGAACUGAUUGAGGGUAAAUUGAAAACCGAUCGCAGUAGGCACGUGUAAGGCGGUUUUAGGAGUGCAUCCCACACUAUAGUCAUCGUGAUCAUCAUCAUCAAAAAUUGAUACUCUCCACUAUCACUUGUUGAUAGGAUGAAGAUAUUCUAUGAGGAGGCUUAUAGGAUUUCUGGGUUUACUACAUGCCAUAAAUUAAACUAUUUCAGUUGAUAAAUGGGCAUGUUCACUAGCAAAGACAAAAAAA
rnacentral:lncRNA from 1 species